GGAAGGAUCAUUAACGAAUAUAAUUCGAGGGGUUGUCGCUGGCCUCGCUCGCGCGAGGCAUGUGCACGCUUCGCGUUUUUCUGAUAACCAACCUGUGAACCUAAUGUAGGAUGCCUCUCCUCCGGGAGGGGGGACCUACGUCUUCUCAACAUCUUCGUGUAGAAAGUCUUUGAAUGUUUACUAUCAUCGAGUCGCGACUUCUAGGAGACGCGAUUCUUUGAGAUAAAAGUUAUUACAACUUUCAGCAACGGAUCUCUUGGCUCUCGCAUCGAUGAAGAACGCAGCGAAAAGCGAUAUGUAAUGUGAAUUGCAGAUCUACAGUGAAUCAUCGAAUCUUUGAACGCACCUUGCGCUCCUCGGUGUUCCGAGGAGCAUGCCUGUUUGAGUGUCAGUAAAUUCUCAACCCCUCUCGAUCUUCUUCGAAGAGGGCGCUUGGAUAGUGGAGGUUGCCGGAGACUCGGAUUCGUUCCGAGACUCGGGCUCUUCUGAAAUGCAUCGGCUUGCGGUCGACUUUCGACUAUGCGCGACAAGGCUUUCGGCGUGAUAAUGAUCGCCGUUCGCCGAAGCGCAUGACAGAAGGUUCCGCGCCUCUAACGCGUCGACCGCUUACUAUCUCUCCGGAGAGAACGGCGUCUUCCUAAUAGACUUUUGACCUCAAAUCAGGU
rnacentral:rRNA from 1 species